rnacentral:rRNA from 1 species
GAUGAACGCUGGCGGCGUGCCUAAUACAUGCAAGUCGAGCGAACAGACGAGGAGCUUGCUCCACUGACGUUAGCGGCGGACGGGAGAGGAAGACGUGGAGAACCUACCUAUAAGACUGGGAUAACUUCGGGAAACCGGAGCUAAUACCGGAUAAUAUAUUGAACCGCAUGGUUCAAUAGUGAAAGACGGUUUUGCUGUCACUUAUAGAUGGAUCCGCGCCGCAUUAGCUAGUUGGUAAGGUAACGGCUUACCAAGGCGACGAUGCGUAGCCGACCUGAGAGGGUGAUCGGCCACACUGGAACUGGGACGCGGUCCCGCCUCGUGCGUGAGGCACCAGUCGGGAUCCUUCCGCAAUGGGCGGAAGCCUGACGUGCCAACGCCGCGUGAGUGAUGCGGGUCGUCGGAUCGUAAAACUUUGCUACUAGCGAAGUACAAAUGUGUAAGGACCUAUGCACGUUUUGACGGUACCUGUUGAGAAAGCCCCGGCCAACUACGUG